GAUGAACGCUGGCGGCGUGCCUAAUACAUGCAAGUAGAACGCUGACUACUUUAGCUUGCUAGAGUAGAAGGAGUUGCGAACGGGUGAGUAACGCGUAGGUAACCUGCCUACUAGCGGGGGAUAACUAUUGGAAACGAUAGCUAAUACCGCAUAACAGUGUUUAACACAUGUUAGAUGCUUGAAAGAUGCAAUUGCAUCACUAGUAGAUGGACCUGCGUUGUAUUAGCUAGUUGGUGGGGUAACGGCCCACAAAGGCGACGAUAACUAGCCGACCGGAGAGGGUGAUUGGGCACACUGGGGCUGAAACAAGGGCCAGACUCCUACGGGAGGCAGCUGUAGGGAAUCUUCGGCAAUUGGGGCAACCCUGACCGAGCAACGCCGCGUGAGUGAAGAAGGUUUUCGGAUCGUAAAGCUCUGUUGUAAGAGAAGAACGUGUGUGAGAGUGGAAAGUUCACACAGUGACGGUAACUUACCAGAAAGGGACGGCUAACUACGUGCCAGCCGCCGCCGUAA
rnacentral:rRNA from 1 species